rnacentral:lncRNA from 1 species
UACUAGCUGGUCAUCUUUUUUUAUACAUCUAAGACCAUCAGUUUGCAUUUGAUUUCUUUGGCAUUAGGUACAUUAAUCUUCUCAAAAGUGUAAUGAAAAUCAUGGGCAAAUUUUAACAAAUUGCUUAAACAUCCCUAGAUUGCUCAGUUGUAAACUGUAUGACUUUAAAAAGAAAGACAAUAGAUAGGAGUACAAAUAACAACAUUACAAAUGUGGAAUAAUUCAAC